rnacentral:rRNA from 1 species
UUCGUAGGCGGUGCGGCAAGUUGGGAGUGAAAUCUCUGGGCUUAACCCAGAGGCUGCUUCCAAAACUGCCGUGCUCGAGUGUGGGAGAGGCGCGUGGAAUUGCAGGUGUAGCGGUGAAAUGCGUAGAUAUCUGCAGGAACACCCGUGGCGAAAGCGGCGCGCUGGACCACAACUGACGCUGAGGAACGAAAGCUAGGGGAGCGAAACAGGAUUAGAUACCCUGGUAGUCCUAGCCCUAAACGAUCAGGACUUGGGGUGCCGCCCGUUCGGGCGUCGUCCCGGAGCUAACGCGUUAAGUCCUGCACCUGGGGAGUACGGUCGCAAGACUGAA